CUUUGGCUGUCUGGGCAUGCUGGGAGUUGUAGUUUUGCAACAGCUGGAUGCACACGGCUGGAGACACCUUGGCAUCACUGGCACCCAAGAGACAUUGGCCCAGAUUUAGUAAACUGUGUCAGACAUUUUGUCCAUAACAACCAAUCACAGCUCAGCUUUUACAUAACAAGCUCUGGUAAAGUGAAAGCUGAGCUGUGAUUGGUUGCUAUGGGCAAAAUCUCUUCACCUUUUCACUCACACAGAUAGAUCUGGGUCAUAUUACCACCAUUAAACACCCCAAUACAACACAUAUAGGAGGAAAGAUGGCACCCAGUGUGGAACUCCAGGAAGACACCAGAGGCCAUAUCAACCCUCUCACAUUUUUCAAAGGAGGAUAAACGUAGGUGCUAAUGUCUGAAGCAACCAAGAUGUGAUCAUGUGACCAUAUCUCCAUCUACAAGCACGCCACCGCCAUGACAACAGAGAUUAUCAUGGAGCUGAGGUGACUUUAUCUUGUGAAUGUCUAGGCAUCUGUCUGUACAUCGAAGCAUAUUGGAAUUAUACAGCAAGACAAUGAUCCAGAACACAAAGAACCCAUGGGCCCCAUGAAUUCCUGAUCCCUUUACAGAACACCGUCGCAGUGAUUUACACGAUUGUGGUGGAUAGUAUGUACUUUCCUUUGGUCUCUGACACUCAACGAAUUAUCUUAAAGAAAGGAAGUACGAGACCUGGAAGCCCAAUUAUGUCAUCUUCAAAGAGGAAAGAGAACUCUUUAGCUGUUCCCAGGGGGUUCUGGGACAAGUGCCUCUUCUACUUGUCAUCUCCUGUACUUCAACAAAAGGUGGAAAUUCAAAUAAUGUUCCAUAGUGCGUUAAUAAUCCAAAUUGUCCCAACUAGGAAUUUACUAAAUAGUCAUGUGACUGAUGAGGACGAUGAAGUGAUAGGAGACAAGCAACAUCAGGGACUUUGAGUGACUUAAUAUUUAUUAGGUAUAUUCUAAUAAGUAAAGAUAACUUUUACAUAAUCAAGGUGUUGACAACUAUUAAGCUCAGUUCACAUUGCAUGUUGCUUCUAUGUUUAGAUUUAUUAUAUGCAGCUUGUGGUAUGACCAUUUUUAGUUUGCUGGAUUCAGAAGCUUUGAGUGCUGUUGCACCUGACGCAGACAUAUACACCAGCUGAGAGCUGUUGUAUGUUUGUGUGACUUUAGGCUGAAUUCACACAGAUUUAUCAAAUAUGUCAAUUUGGGGAUAUGCACCCAUUAUCAGUAAAAAUGGGGCCACAGACAUUUUAUUGCCUUUAUGGAAGAAAGGGGGGCAUUGAGCAGCAGUCUAUUUGAGAGAAUGGUACCAUGAGAAGCAGUCUAUUGGAGAGAGGGCCCCAUGAGAAGCAGCUUGAGAGGGGGCCCUGUGAGCAGCAUUCAUAUUGAGGGAAGAGGGCCCAUGAGCAGCAGUCUAUUGGAGAGGGGGCUCCAUGAGCUGCAAUCUAUGCGAGAGAGGGCCCAUAAGAAGCAGUCUAUAUUAGAGGGGGUCCCAUGAGCUUCAAUCUAUGUGAGAGAGGGCCCAUGAGAAGCAAUAUAUUGGGGAGGGGGCUCCAUGAGCUGCAAUCUAUGUGAGAGAGUGCCCAUGAGAAGCAAUCUAUUGGAGAGGGGGCUCCAUGAGCAGCAGUCUAUAUGAAAGGGGUCCCCAUAAGAAGCAAUCUAUAUUAGAGGGGGUCCCAUGAGAAGCAGUCGAUCUAGGAGGGGGCCCCAUGAGCAGGAGUCUAUCUGAGAGGAGGCCUCAUGUUAGGCAGUCUAUCUGAGAGGGGUCCCCAUAAUUACCAGUUUAUAUUAGAGAGGGCCCUAUGAGAAGCAGUCUAUCUGGGAGGGGACCCGAUGAGAGACAUUCUAUCUGAGAGGGGCCCUGUAAGCACCAUUCAUUACAAGAAAAGGGAAACAAUAAACAGCAGUCUAUAUGAGAAAUAGGGGGCCAUGAGCAGCAGUCCAUGUGAGAGAGGGGCUUAAAAUGCCUUUCACAUACAGCAUCUCAUACUAUUAGAAUGAUGUGGGUGACAUUACAGGUGCUAGAACAUUUCACAAGGUAAGGUUGUGAACCAGAGGCCUAAAAACUAGAACUUGUCCUAGACCAAGACAAUUGCAAGUCCAAUAUAGAAAGCGUGUAUUAACCCCAUGGUCCACCAGCAGUUUAACAAAUACUUUAUGUACCCCCAUAGUUGUGCUUCUUGCCAUUUUUUUUGGCAAUAUAUAUAUUUCUAUUUAAUGAAAUCCUUGAAUCUAUGAAUCACAUUUUUAUUGUUUUGUAUUGUAUUUUUUUGUAUAACAUCUGGGUUUUCAAUAACAAGCAUUUUUAGUUAAUUUAACUAGUACAUUACAAAGGAGUCUGUGCUUGUUAUUCUUACUGAACAUCGGCAUUAUGGUCAAAUAAGAUGACUUUCCAAUUUGACAAUCUUCUAGAAUGUACUGAUAUAAAUGCACAGUGGUCUUUGAACAGGAAUAUCUUUGUUUGAUAUUAAACACAGUGAAGGAGGCCACUUCAUAUCAUUUCUUUGGCCUGAUAAAACAAAACCUCACAAUUAGAUGUAAUAA